rnacentral:snRNA from 1 species
AGCUUUGCGCAGUGGCAGUAUCGUAGCCAGUGAGGUUUAUCCGAGGCGCGAUUACUGCUAAUUGAAAACUUUUCCCAAGACAAUUGUUAUAUCUUCUUGUUGGAG